rnacentral:rRNA from 1 species
AUUGAACGCUGGCGGCAGGCCUAACACAUGCAAGUCGAACGAGUGGCGGAAGGGUGAGUAAUGUAUGGGAAACUGCCUGAUGGAGGGGGAUAACUACUGGAAACGGUAGCUAAUAACGCAUACCAUCGGAUGUGCCCAGAUGGGAUAAGCUAGUAGGUGGGGUAAAGGCUCACCUAGGCGACGAUCCCUAGCUGGUCUGGGAGGAUGACAAGCAACACGUGAACUGAGACCCGGUCCAGACUCCUACGGGAGGCAGCAGUGUGGAAUAUUGCACAAUGGGCGCAAGCCUGGUGCAGCCAUGCCGCGUGUAUGAAGAAGGCCUUCGGGUUGUAAAGUACUUUCAGCGGGUAGGCGUUACCCGCAGAAGAAGCACCGGCUAACUCCGUGCCAGCCGCCGCGGUAAUUC